CAGUAGCCGCGGUAAUACGUAGGGUGCGAGCGUUAAUCGGAAUUACUGGGCGUAAAGCGUGCGCAGGCGGUUCGUUAAGACAGAUGUGAAAUCCCCGGGCUUAACCUGGGAACUGCAUUUGUGACUGGCGAGCUAGAGUAUGGCAGAGGGGGGUAGAAUUCCACGUGUAGCAGUGAAAUGCGUAGAGAUGUGGAGGAAUACCGAUGGCGAAGGCAGCCCCCUGGGCCAAUACUGACGCUCAUGCACGAAAGCGUGGGGAGCAAACAGGAUUAGAUACCCGAGUAGUCCCUGUCUCUUAUAA
rnacentral:rRNA from 1 species